UGGUAAAGGGGGUUUGGUAGUAGUCUGCUACCUCAGAUCCAUGGUAAGUGCAGUUAGUUAUAAGAUCGGCUGACAAGGAACCGUAGCAAAGCAGGCGAGUAAGAAUAUUCUCCAGAAAUAAAAAUGGCCACCGGGACACGCUUAGGACCUUGUUGGUGCGCCGUUUUCUAGUGUUUCUGGCUGUUUGCAGUUCUGUCCAGCAUUUGGAAGUGGGUCAACUGGCGCCUGGGGCAAGAGAACAUCUGAGAAAGGUUGUCGCCCCGGUCCGAGCCUAGUACCUGACGAGAACGCUGUGACACAUGCGAUGGAGCUGGUUGGACAACGCAGUGUGCGAACUGUCGGACGCCUGCACUGGAGGGACACAUAGUACUUACCGCCAUGACGCCCUGUUCCAACAACAAGGGUAGAACACCUUUCCUGAUCGGACUAUUCAUGGGGAGUCAUCCUCUGUAGUCUUGUAUUCAGUUCAAUCUACUUCUACCUGGGAGAACUCAGAACACAGCCGCUGUACGUGUGGCACACUGCGUGGAGUAAGAGACUGUUAUCGUGGCAAACAGACGUCCAGACUACGACCGUCCCGAGCACCACCGCCUGGCCUGUUAGACCGCCCGGCCCGGUACACCCUGCACCGUUCAACGGUACCCACCCGCUCAGUGGAUACGUCAACGUGGUGAAAAAU